UUUUUUUUUUUUUUUUUUUUUUCUGUCAUGGUUUGCAAGAGGGAUUAAAGGGUCGAAUUAUUUUUUAAAAAUAAAAAAAACGUAAGAAUGAAGGAAAACAUUGAUUUUUUAUUAGAGUAAUUUUAAUAACACAUAAUUUAUGUCGUUAAUUAACGAUGAGAAAAUUGUGUAAACUCAAUUCGUGUCAAGAAAAUUCUAUUAAUAAAACUCAAUUCGUGUCAAGAAAAUCGUGUCACGAAAAAUUUCACACUUUUAUUUUUAAAAACACAUUUUAUUCUGUCCCACUCAUUUUUCUUGAUUUCAAGAGUCAUUAAAACUCAUAUUUUUAAAUAAAUUUAUUGGAUGACCGUGGCAAGAUUGGUGGGUUUAACCGCUAAGUUAAGGCUUGAUAUGACAUCAACGACAAUAGUGGGUAGAGUGUAAGAUCGACAGCAAUAGGUGGUGGUAGAAAAUUGGAAGGCAAAGGUUCUUCACAACAAUGCAGUAUCCCACUUUAUUCGACGAAUUUUUUUCUGCAAUUUUGGUAAAGAAAAAAAAUUAGGUUAAGGCUUCAUUGGAUGAUGGCAUUUAAAAGAAAAUUUGAGGUUCUUAAUUAGUUUUAAUGGUGUGAAAGGAGGGAAAUUCAAAUAUUUUAAAAUUUAGAGUUUUUUCAUUAAUUUUUUUUAAUGACACAAAAUUUAUGUUAAUUAAUGAUGCAAAAAUGGUGUCAAAACAAAUUAAAUUGGACACAAUUUACCUCAUCCCAUCUUUUUUUUUAUUUUCAAGGACACAAUGUCUAUUUUGAUUGGUAGUGACAUUCAAAACCAAAUUUAAUUUAUAGUAAUGCGUUGAUCAGCACUACCACAAUUAUGGCUUCAUAUGAUAGUGUCUUAAACUUCAAACGCAAAUAUACAGAUAUUUUUUCUUUUAUGUAAAAAAUUUGACAUCAACACUUACAGACAUGAGCAUAACAAAAUUAAACAGUAAAAGUCGAUUUUAAAAACCAAGAGAUAAUGAGAUAUUACUUUAAAAGAAAACAAAAAAAAGCAAAUGAUAAAUUCGACAUUAUAAUGUCAGAAAUGAGAAUUAAAUAUUUUCCCAACAAAAGCUAAGAUACAGCCUCCUUAAAUGUAGUAUCCACCCCAAGAAAUACAGUUAACUAUUUCUCAAAAGUGUAUAUAGAUUUGACUUACCUUCAUAUAAGGAGAAAAAACAAGGAAGACCGAGAGUUAACAAGUGGUUAUGUGGGGGAUUCAAUCGAACAAAAUGUGUGGAAAUCUUGUCCCAAAUACACUUCUUUCUUUAUUUACAAACCGGAAAUAGUAACCAUUAACAAUAUGCCUCACAAGAGUCCAUAUCAUAAAAUAACCAUCAAUUCCACAAACUACACAUGUUACCUACUUCAUACAGUGUGUACCCCACCUGUACAAGAUGUGAAAUUAUGUAAAGUUGUUUCAUUCAACCUAAAAACUCAGAGGAGCUGCGAGAAUCUCUUUCAACUGUCGUGUCAGUGUACAUCGAGAUGUAGCCAUCCACCAUAUUUAUACCUUUUCUACCACAAAAUGAUGGGUGAAUGUGUAGUACAAUAUAGCACCCCAUCAUCAACUCUCAGUUCUAACCAUGAAGGAAUUCACAAAUUGAACUUUGUGGUAGAAAUUAAGGCCCCGUGGUUAGAAAAGAAUUUCCUUUUUCGUUCUUCCUUUUCAAGAAGUAAAACUUUGUGAGGCUAAGUAAAUUGCAAACUCUGUUUCAAAAUUUUUAGGGGAAAAAAAGAAAAAAAGUACCGAUUUCCACUCCCGCAGUUGUUCAUCUUUUUUUUUUUUUUUUUUGCCUAUAACACCAGUUUGAACCCUUCUGACAAGAAAUCGUCCCUAAAAAAAAAAAAAAUCGAAUUCAUGCUUCACAUCACCUUUCAAUAAAAUUUAUCACAAGUAACUAAUUGAACAUGCACAGACAAACAUUUGUACAACAAUAAAGAACAUCAAGAGGCAAAUUGAAGUACAUAUCUGAAAAUGUAAAAACAUAAAUGCUUUCAAACAAAGGAUAUGAUAAUAACCUCUCCUCUUCGAGGACCUUUAUAGGAUUUUCCCUGUAAGCAUCAACUGAAAUAAGGCUUUCCACUAAUGUUUCAGCAUCGAAGCUAUGAGGCAGCCCAUCAAUCACGGCAUCAUGAACUGUCUGAGUAUCAAGAUCAUACCAUAUAAGCUUUCUACGAUUGUGAAGUAGAAGAACUUUACAGCCAGUCUUGGAAUAAGUCAAAGGUUUCACAGACUUAAUGGAACCAACAAAAUCAACUUGAGAAACAGUCAGUAAUUUCAUCCAUGAUUCCUGAACUCCAUACUCCUUCAUAACCCAAACCUCAAAGCGAACUCGAUCAUAAUUUGCAAUCAAACAGAGACACCCACCUAAAACAUCCACAUGAAUUUCACAUUUGAAAUCAGUAAGCUCUGGCAAUGGAAUCUCUUCGAAUCUACCGGUUCCAAGAUCAAAAGCCACCACUAAGUCAGCUAACCCCAUGCCCAGAUUCUCAGACACAACCCAAUGUAAAGCAUUAUUGACAAAAACCCCCAUUGUCGAGCUAUACCGCAGAAUGUAACUCGUACUUUCAAUCGGCAUCCAACAAAAUUUUCUCAAACUAAAAACCUUAACAUGCGAAUCAAAAUCCAUAGGGUCAUCCAAUCCUAUAAAUUGCGAAAUUUUCAAGAGUUUAAAGUCAUCGUGGACAGAAUCAAACCCGAAACCGUAAGACUCAUUGAAGAUACGAAGAACACCAUCACGGCGACGCUCCGGAGGCAGAGAUGGCAAUAUACGGUGCUUCCUCGUGGACGGAUUCCAGAGGGCGAUGUCUUCAGCAACAUUACAGAUGCACAAAAUGCCAUUACAAGAGCCCCAAAUAUUAAUUCGACUGCCGUAACACAUCAGAGGGUGAAUAAGCUCGACGGCAGGGUCAAAUAGAUCGAGAUUGACGGUGAAGAGAUCAGAAUUCUUACGGAUAAUAAGAUGGAAAUGAGUUUGAGACUCGAUUGAUUUCUUCAUAUGAAGAUUGACGAAAUUAGAGCAAUCGAUGAGGUACUUCCAUAUCUUUGAGACUCUCCUGAAGCGCAAGAUAGCUUUCGCCGGUAAUCGACAGAUGAUAUCGGCGAUAAGGUCGAGAGGUACGUCUGCCAUGGGAUAUGAGAGCAUCUUUUUACUCCAUGGAUUAGGGUUCUUCAAUGGUUCUAUAAAACCAGCUCGCUACCGUUAAUUGCUCAUUUGGUUGGUUCGGUAUUCCUUUUACCACUUUCUUUUUUCUACUUCCACUUCUUAGUUGUAAUAUUUACCAAACUCAACCAUACAAUUCAUUUCAAUUUUUUUUAACUCUCUUUCCAGUUGAUUGAAGAACAAACCUCAAUUGAAUAAGAAUCUUGAUUGGAAGGUAAGUCCCAACCUUCAAGUACUAAACAAAUAUUUAAGUAAUUUCGAUCCCACGAGUAUGAAGACAAGAGAUUAAAUGAAUGAAUUUAAUAAUUUGAUGUCUCACUUAUCUAACAACAAUUAUUAAAGAGUACCAAUCUCGGGGAGCGUCAUUCUUCGAUAUUGUACUCAUUUGAAUCUUGGUUAAUAAAUUUCUUUAUCUGAGCAUUAAAGCUCUCAGGAACUAGGUGAUAUUCACCGAACUUGAUUAUCAAAGUUAUUGUGUUCAUUUUUCUCCAUGUUCCCUUAGUUAACAACCUAGCUUUUUAACUAAAGUAACAACUUAAAAGUAAAAUAAUCUAUUUUACACUUUCAAUUGGUAUCAUAACAAGGUUUCACAAAAUGGAUCUUAUUAAAGAAGGAGGAUCUACUACCCGGUCAUCAGUUUUAGACGACACAAAUUAUGCUUAUUAAGAGGCAUGUAUGGCUGCAUUUCUUAAAUUCAUUGAUAGCAAAACAUGGAAUGUCGUGGUUACUGGGUGGGAACCUUUCAGUGUAACUACCGAUGAAAAAACAACUCUCCAACCAGAAAUAAAAUGGAGAAGUAUUGAAGAUCAAGUUUCUCUCGAAAAUUCUCGUACAUUGAAUGCUAUUUUCAAUGGUGUUGAUCAAAAUUAACAUGUUUAAAUUAUAAAUACAUUGGCAAAAGAAGCAUGAAAGAUUCUUGAAGUAAAAAAGUAAUUGUUUUCAAGAUUUUGAUUGUCAUCAUUUUGGUGCAUUGUCGUUGUACUUCAAUUUUUCAACUCGUAUGCUAUACGCAAUUCAUCCACAUAUAAUUUUUCUUUUUUUAUGAUUCACUCAAGUGUAUUUUUCUCUUCUUCCCAACUUCUUUUCUUCGUUCUUUUGUGAUGUUUUGCAAUUUAUUGUGGAAAUAUUUAUCUGCAAUUUCGUAGAGUUAAUGUUAUACAUUUGUUGUACUUAUUUAUUUUUUCUAGUUUAUUGUACUUUAUCACGAAUAUUAACACCAAUAUGUAACGUUUUAUUUUUAUUCUACUCAAUGUUGUCUUUCUGAUUUACUUCAAGAUUUCAAUAUGAAAAAGAUAAAUAAGUAAAAGGUAUGUGAAGAGUUGGAAAAUAUGAGAGAGAUUUAAGUUUUGGAGAAGAAAAUAACAAAAUUUGUUUUAAUUGGAUUUAUUUGAUUCAAAUAUAUUGAUUAUGUUUCUUGGUUGGCAUAAAAGAUUUAUAAAAUAAAUUAGCAAGAUUUAUUGGUUAUUAUCAAUUUAAUUAAUAUGAUGAAUAAUUUAAAGCCUAACCAUCAAAGUAUAGAAGUGACAUCAUUGUUUCGUUAAAGAGUUAACGUAAGUCCAACGACAUGGACCAAAGUAGUUUUUUUUUUUUCAAAAGUUAAGUAAUUAAUUAUUAAAUAUCAAAUAUUUUUUUUAUACAAAUGGAAGGUGGGGGAAUUUGAAUCCAACACCUCUUAUCUUCACGUAUGUAUAGUUUUAAUAUGAAUCUUAUUCAAAUAUUUAUCUUCGUCAUAUUAUAGUGUAUAAUUUUGAAUCUUAUUCAAAAUUAACUUUGAAUUAUAAUAUAGAACUAUUUUCAAAUUAUCACAGCCUAUUUAUGAUGGACUACGAUAGAUUAUGACAAAGAGCUAUUCGUAUUUAUUUGUUUCAUGAUAUACACAUAUACUAUUUUAUCGUUGUCUAUCACAAAUAAAUUGUGAUAUUUUACUAUAAAUUAUAAGUAUUUCAUAAGAUUUGUCAUUUAAAAUAAAUUGAAGUUCUCCAUAAGAAUUUUUUUUUUUUAAAAAAAAAAAAUUGACAAACUAUUUAUACACAUCAUAGACUAAAUAAUAAGACCAAUAAAAGAUAAAAUUUAUUACACUUGAUUUUUCUACGAAGAGUAAAUAUUUUGUCAAAAGUAAUAUUUUUGACAAUUUUCUUUAUAUUAUUUAAUUUGAAUUGUAUUCAAAUAUUAUUUCAUAUAUAUAAUAUUAAUUAUAAAUCAUAUUUAUAAUUAACUAUGCAUAAUACAUAUAUACCCAUUAUAUUAUAUUAAUUACAUCUUAUACAAGUAAUUUCCUUAUUUAAUUUAAACAAUUCAAAUUUAAUUGAUUCUUAUGUUUACCCUUAGUGAGCUAGCAAAUGGGUUCUCAUGAACUACUGACCAAAACUUUAAUUAUACAAAAUUAAUUAAUUAAAUUAAUCAACGUUCGUUUACUACAAACCACUCCACUAAGACAACUGCACUAUUAGCACUAUAGAUAUAUUUUGUGUCUAUGGAUACAAUAACCAAUCAACAGUAAAUCAAACCCUUCAUAAAUCGUUCAUAAUUACAGUUGGGUCAAACUAUCAUUAGAAAUAAUGUCCAUGGGACAGGCUGGAUCGAGGAUGCCACUGCAUGUUCUUGUUCCCACUCCUAUAUUAUUUUCCAUCUUCGUUAAUUUCCCCAUAAGGUACAAGGCAGGGACUCCUUACAAGGAAACAUAUUUCGUCGUUUUUUUAAAUAUUUUUAAUUUUAAUCAAUAUUUUUUUGGAAGAUAUAAGUGUUGGGGUUAUUGCCCUAAAUCUUGUGGUCUUGUAGUUUGUAAUGGUAUUAUACAAGCAUUUUAUUUAUCUAAUAAACAAAAGUAUUUUAUUUUAUUUGACAUUUAGUUGCAUUAACCCACACAACCAAUAAACUAACAUCCAAGGUUAUUUCUUAUGUAACCUAAAUAGGUGUGGAGACAUACAUGCAGAUAAUGUUUAAGUGAUAACCCUACAUGGUCUAAGAGGAGUUCAGUUAUAGUGGGGCUAUAACUUAUUGUUCAUUAUAGAAAUCAGUGGUACUUGAGGAGUUCGAUGUAACUACAAGCGUAAAAUGGCCUAGCUGUACUUACGGGCAAUUUCUGAAAGGUCAUUGCUGAAGGGAUAACAACAGAUGAUUUUACAGAACCAUUCUUCAAUUUAAUAUAGGAAUCCUAAAAUACCAGAACAUUAACAAUAUUUAGAAUCAAAAUUAUAAAUAAAUAAAAAACUAAGCAUGUUUUUAAAAUUAAAAUAUACAGAGAACUUACUCUUGGUGACGUCUCUAAAUCUACCAUCCAUCGAAUUGGGGAUACUGCCGGUAGGAAUCCUUUCUAUCCUUUAGGAUGAGAUGUGUUUGUGGGAACCAAUUAGAAUGGAAAAACGUUUAGAGAGAAACUAUUUUGCAUAAAAGCAAAAUCAUUAGUUCCAUUUAUAUUUAAGAAAAAUUGUUUUUCUUCUACAUAUUUAUAACUCUUUCCUUGAUGGAAUAGGAGAGAAUCAUGAGAUUUUAUUAAGGGUUUUUGCAAAAAAUAGCAAAAUAAUUAUGAUAAUAGGGCUCAUGUCACUACAUUUUCUAAAUUGUAAAAGUAGCAAAUUUAAAAGCCGAUAGUCCUAUGAUUACCAUCUAAUAACCUUCUAAUAGCAAUAUGAUUAUCGUCUGAUAGCCGUCUAAUAUCACUAAUUUUGUCAUAUUUACAAUAUGCAAAAACUACGUGUCAUGAGCUCUUUUUUUCUAAAUGUUUUUGUCAUUUAAUGCAAUUUUCCUUUUAUUAAUUAAAAAAUAUUAAAUUAAUAAAAACUUUAAAUAAACUAAUUAAUUAAUCAAUUAAUCAAUUAAUCAAUAAUUAAAAAUUUCUCUUAAUCUAAAUCUUAUUUAAUUAAUAUUUCAUUUAAAUCUCAUUUAAUGAAUAUCUUUUUAAUAUCUUAUAGUUUUAAAUUAAUUUAAUAAAAUCAAAUUAAACUAAAUUAAAUAUUUUAUAUUUAAGUUAAGUUAAAUUUGAAUCAUAUUUAAAAAUAAAUCUCUCACAACCAAUAAUUUUAAUAUGAAUCUAAUUCACGUUAAAUUAAUAUUUAAACUCGUUCAAAUAUUUUAUCUCUUAUAAAUUAAUUUUGAAUCAUAUCCAAAACUAAAUUUAUACAAUAAAAUUUGAUUAACAUAUAAAUUUUAUAUUAUAAUGUAUCACCAUACAUUAUACUAAUUCACAAAGUAAAUUUAAACAUUUCAAAUUAGAACCAAUAUAAAUAAAUCUAAUUACUCUUCACAAGCUAGGAAGGAGACCCAAUGGACCUACAGAUCAGAAGCUACAAUGAUAUGAGAUUAAUUGGCUAAACUCAUUAACCACAUUAAUCAAUAUCUAUUAACUGUUUAUACACUCCAUAAAGACUCACAGUUGAACUUUUCUCAUUUUACAUAUAAAUAUUUAUAUGUCCAUGAAUAUAGAUCAAUAACACUAAGUUAGUCCUUCACGAGUGUCUGUAACACCAGCUGAGUCAAUUUACCGUUUUAACCAUUGGUUACCUUUAGUCCUUAAAUAAUAUUGCUCCUCUAAUUAACAACUUGUUUAUGGUCCAACCAAUAAACAGAAACCUCUUUCGCAUCAUAGAGAGGGCAAGACCCUUUGUUGAAGUCCCAGAGACAUUAUUUAAGAGAACACUCAUCUACUUACUCUAAAGUAGGAAAAUAAUGAAUUUCAUCUUGUGCAAUUAUGUUAUGAACUCUCUACUCGAUCUUAUCUCCAAAAUGAUAAGCAUAUUGAGUCGGCGAUCUAGCUACUCUCACCCGUAAAAAUCAAAGGACAAUCUCUCGAAAACAGGAGUUCAUAACACACUCAGAAUUAAGACUAAGUUACCUAAAUCAUCCUAGAGAGAAAUAGAAACUUAACUAGUUAACAGAGUUAUAUUUAUUGGUUACUAUUUCGUGGUCUGAUCUUAUGCAAACUCAUUGCAUAGGAUACUCUCACUCGCAUUUCACCUACACGAACACGUUGGAUCAUUGUAUCAAAUACAAAGUAAGUUGUAUCCACAAUGAUACCCGGAUAAGGUACCGAGCCUUAUCCUUAUAUUAUAGACCCUUUAAGCUAAUCUUGAACAUAGAUCCCUGUAUGUCUCAACAUACUGUUCAAGACUCUCAUCAAACAACUUAAGAUGUUAGUUAUUGGAUUUGGGUUAUUAAGACAAAAUUAAAAGUAUAAUCAAUAAUAUUUGUUGAAAUUAUAAUAAUAACACUUUAUUAAUAACGAUCAAUCGAUUAUAUUUAAUCUACGAGUUUUAGGACAUAAAUCUCAACAAACUCUCACUUUGACUAAAACUCUAGUCUCUAUGGGAUGUAUAUAAUAAAGUAAUCCUCAAACAUUGGAAAUGGUAAAAUGUACAAGUAUAUUACAUAAAACGCACAUAUACAAAUAUAAUAAACUAGGCAUCCUCAUACGCAUUACACAUCUUCCACUUUUCCUAGAUUACCUAAUGUACAUAUCUCGCAGACAUAGACUUUCUAGAUGACCCUUGAACACAUUAGCCAUGAGAGUCUUUGUAAAUAGAUCAGCAAUAUGCCCCACUGUUAUCACAAUAUAAAGUGAUGGGCAUGUUCAUGUUUGGAACAACUUCUGAGCUAAUCUGUUUCUUUUGUUGCUUCGCUAUAGAGUUUGUAGAGUUCAAGUUUGGAACAACUUUUGGAACAACGUACUCAGCCUCCACAGUAGAGUUUGUAAUGCAUUCUUGCUUGAUGUUACACCAUACCACAACUCCCUCAUUAGAGUGAACACUGAUCCCGACGUGAAUUUCCUAGAAUCCUUAUCGGUUUAGAAAUCAGAGUCAGUGUAUCCUAUAAGGAUAAAAUCCUUAGCUCCAUACACAAGCAUGUAAUCUCCCGUUCUCCUUAGAUACUUAAGAAUAAUAUUAACCGUAGUCCAGUAGUCUAACCCUAGGUUGGACUGAUAUCUACUGACUUCCAGUGCAAAAUAAAUGUCUAGCCUAGUGCAGAGCAUAACACACAUUAAGCUCCCUAUAGCUAAGGCAUAAGGAAUGUCUCAUAUCCUUAACUUCUUGAGUUGUCUUAGGACAUUGUUUCUUAAACAAAUGAGCCCCGUGCUUGAAAUGUAAUAAACCCUUCUUAGAGUCCUACAUCGAAUAUCGAACCAACAUUUUAUCGAUAUAGAUUACUUAAGAUAUUGCUAGCGUUUUGUUCUUGGGAUUCAACUUACGAUCCCUUAUGAUUUGGACCCCAAGAACAUAUUAUGCCUCUUCCAAAUAUUUUAUUUGGGACUAAGUUGCUAGCCAAGUUUUAACGUUAAUUAGGUAUCCUACAUCAUUUUCAAUGAUAAGGAUAUCGUCCACAUAAAGUACUAAGAAAGCUACUUUACCUUGUUGAUUUUCUUGUAUACACAAGGUUCGUCAACGUUUUGGUCAAAACCAUAAGAUUUGAUUGCAGUAUCAAAUCUAAUAUUCCAAGAUCUAGAUGAUUGUUUCAAACCAUAAAUGGAUCGCUUCAACUUGCAAACUUUUUGCUCCUAACCAUGGGCUAUGAACCCCUCAGGUUGAGAAGUAAAGAUACUUUCUUCAAGAUUGUCAUUCAGAAAAAGCAGUCUUGACAUUCAUUUUCAUAAAAAGUGGCUAUGGACAAAAAAAUCCUUAGACUUUCACAUAGAAACAAGGGAAAAAGUUUUCUCAUAGCCAAUCCCUUCCCUUUAUAUAUACCAUUUUGCUACAAGUCUAGCUUUGUAGGUUUGUACCUUCCUAACUGAAUCUCUCUUUCUCUUAUAAAUCCAUUUGCACCCUAUAGGUUUCACCCCUUCAGAUAGAUCUACAAGCUCUCACACUGAAUUGAAGUACAUGGACUUCAUUUCAAGGCCCAUGACUUUGACCCAUUAGUUCUUGUCUACACUAUUCAUUGUCUGUUUAUAGGACAAUAGAUCGUGAACGCCAUCAUUUGGUAUGCCAACUUGAGUUUCAGUUAAACCCAACGGUUAGGUUGUGAUACAAUCCUCCCACUGCGUCAAGGCAUUCUCAAGGAUUGAGAAGGAUGAGACUGACCUUAUGUGUUGGUUUCAUCAACUCUUGAUGAGGGACCAACUUCAUCAACAACCCUUGUUGAUUCAUCAGUAGCUUCAUUUAAUACUAAUUUGCUUCGCGGUUUAUGCUCUCUCAUGUGGUCUUUUUUCAAGAAAGUAACAUUUAUCGAUACAAAUACUCUGUUUUCUUAUGGAUUGAAGAAUAAACCACCUCUCAUUUCUUUAUUGCAUAACCUUGAACAGGAUUCCAACUUUUUGUGAUUUGUCACUAACACGUGUGUUGGACAACCCAAAAAAUUCUGAAGUAACUUAAACUAGGUUUACGUUCUCUUCAUAACUAGAAAGGUGUUUUAGAAACACUCUUUAAGGGAACAUUGUUCAAGAUAUCAAUUGCAGUCGCUACUGCAUGCCUCUAAAACGAGCUAGGCAAUUGAGCAUAGCUCAUUGAACGAACCAUGUCUAACAAUGUUCUAUUUCUCCUUUUUGAUACACUAUUUUGUUGAGGUGUAACAGGUGCUGAGAGUUAGGAUUGGAUUUCAUGUUCUAUCAUAUAGUCCUAGAAUCUCAAAUCCAUGUACUCUCCACCUCGAUCAAAUUGAAGUAUUUUAAAUCUUUUUACUUAACAAAUUUUCAACUUCAACCUUAUACUCCUUGAACUUUUCAAGAGUUUUAGACUUAUGCCCCCAUUAAAUAUAAAUAACUAUACCUUGAAUAAUCAUCUAUAAAAUAGAUGAAGUAUUCAAAACCUCCUCUAGCUUUUACAUUUAUCGGACCACAGAAGGUCUAAAUGUAUAAGUUCUAGGAACUCUUUGGCUCUAUAACCUUUUUCAGUAAAAGGUCUUUUAGUCAUCUUUCCUUCAAGAAAAAAAUCACUUGGAGGUAAUUAAUCAUCUUCUAACUCAUUUAGAAUUCCAUUCUUUACCAAUCUCUCGAUCCUAUCGAGAUGAAUGUGACCUAGUCUUAAAUGUCAAAGAUAUUAUUGUUAUUAGGAGAAAUUGUUUGUCUUUUAUGUGAGUAUUAGCAGUUUUAAACAUCUCAUGAUUUAAAAUUGCUUUCGCUUCGUUAGAUCUUAAUACAUACAAGUUGUCUUCAAGUUUAGCUGACCAAAUAUGUACACCAUUCUUAGAAUUGAAUGCUUCAUUUAAAGAAAAUGUUACAUUAUAUGAUUGUUCAAUAAGAUAAGAAAUAGAUAUAAGAUUUCUUUUAAUCUUAGGAACUAUAUACGAGUUUUCUAAAAACAUGAAUAUAUUUUUGAAAGACAACUUAGCAUCUCUCACUGCACGAGCUGGAAUGACAUCUUUCGUUUCAACCUUGAGUGUCAUCUCAUCCUCCUUGAGCCGCUUAAAGGAACUAGUUUCCUAUAAAGAAGAGAAAACAUGGUUAAUGGCUCUUGAAUCAAUUAUCCAAGCAUUUUGGUUAUUUUUCACUAAACAUGUUUCUAAGACAAGUAAAUCAUAUUUACCUUCUUUUUUAUUCUUCUUAAACAUCUCUUGAGGGAGUACAUGAUCGGUCUCAUAUUUCUUGCUUAGAAGAGAUGAGUUAAUGUGGUCCUUAUCUAACACACCCACUUAAAUCCCUAAAGAGGAGUGCCGAUCUCUUACAUAUAAUAUGUCUUCCUCUUCCUUCCUAAAGAAUAGAAGUUUAGUAACCAUAAAAUAAUUCAUUUAGCACACUCGGUGUACUUGAUCACAUCUCAAGGUCAUCUUCCCAUACAUGUUAUUUUGUUGUCACAAUACUUGAGAACAAUUCAUUUUUCAAUAUCCAAUAAAUUUUCUCUCAUUCCAAUGUUACAAUAUUUUAACUUUAGAAAUCCUAAUAAUUAGUACAUAGAAAACAAAUAAUAAACUGCAUAAAUUCCACUAGAAAAACUUGAGGUAGAGCACUCUUCACACACCAAUAUUUAUCAAAUUCUAAGUUGAGAUCAAACAUCUUCUUCACCUCCCAUAUAUAUAGUAGUUCAAAUCCUUCAACUAUACUCCAUAAUACAUCAUUAACUUUCAUAAUAUAAUUCAAAUAUUUUCACUCAAUAAACCAAUAGAAAAUCAAGUUUCUAUUUUAGAAAUAGGAAAAAAACAGCACAUAAUUAAAUUAAACUAGUUGUCCCACAAAGCUGAGAUCAUAAAUUAAUAUUGCACCCCACCACUCUUCCAUAGUAACUCUUUUCAUGUGAUCUCUAUUCUUGGCUCUUCUCUUCUGCUACCUCAGUCGGUUUCUCUUCUUCAAUUGCUUUCUCUUCUUCCACCUGAGGUUUGGCCUCCGCCUCGACCUCGGCUGCUGGAGACUCCUCAACCUUUGCACUUUCUUCGGCUUCGGGCACCGCUUCUUCUUUUUCUUCUGAUUCAGUUGCCACUACUGUUUCUUCCUUCUUUUCUUGACCCUCUUCAACUUUGGAUUCCUCUACAGGAGCCUCCGUGGAUUCCUCUACCUGCAGGGAUGAAACCAUUACGUACAUAAUUUUACUUAGAAGAACCAAAUUAUUUUCUACUUACUCUCACUUUUCAUAUCACUAUAAUCUCUUUUUCAAUCCUAUAACUUUUAUCAAAGAAACUUUUAGGCUUUAUUCCUUUUCAUUUCUUAUUAAC
rnacentral:lncRNA from 1 species